UAGGUGGUCACUUUUUAAAACCUGGGCCCUC
rnacentral:piRNA from 1 species